rnacentral:rRNA from 1 species
UACGGAGGGUGCAAGCGUUGUUCGGAUUUAUUGGGCGUAAAGCGCGUGUAGGCGGUUUCUUAAGUCUGAUGUGAAAGCCCUGGGCUCAACCCAGGAAGUGCAUUGGAUACUGGGAAACUUGAAUACGGGAGAGGGUAGUGGAAUUCCUAGUGUAGGAGUGAAAUCCGUAGAUAUUAGGAGGAACACCGGUGGCGAAGGCGGCUACCUGGACCGAUAUUGACGCUGAGAGACGAAAGCUAGGGGAGCGAAUGGG